rnacentral:lncRNA from 1 species
AUGAAGCAGAAAAGAGUUUUCCAGCACCCAGCAUGGGUUUGUGAGGCAGUACCACGGGGAGAUGGCGGGGAGCACAGUGGGUGUCCCACUCCAGCUGCCACCCAGCUCCUCUGCAGCUGUCCCAAGGCAAGGCUCCUUCCCGGAGAUGCUGAGGCUAACCGCAGGGCUAAUUUCAAGGACAGGUGGCUAAUGAGCGUGCAGAUCUGCCCCCACCACCUCUGGGAUGAUCCCAUAAUGUCCUCAGCCAAGGGACAGAGCCAGCUUCAGCCCCUUGGCAUUCCAAAGCAUGACAGACCAGAGCAGUGCCUGGUCCAUGCUCACGGGCUGUGGCAUGCACUAGCAGCCUGUCCGUGGCUGCUGCUGCCUGGGGACAUGGCAGGAGACCUGUCCUCCUGCACUGGCUGCCUUGGGCUUAUUUGGGCUUAUUUGGAACAUUUCUGGGAGAUGCAGCAUAGGCGCACCCGGAGAGGUGGGCUGGGAGAGGAACACUGGCACUCCUCUGAGUGUGGCCACCUUGCUUUGGCUUUGCAGCUGCACUGGGCUUGCCAUGGGGCCAAUGGAUGCCACCACCCACCCAGCUGCCUGCCACGCAGGUUAAAAAACAACCACCUUCCCCUGCACCAAGCAGGGAUGUGCCCCUGCCCGCCCUCUCUGCACCCACAGUAUCCCGGCCCUGGCACCGGUGGCACCAGUGCUGUGCCAUGGCCAUGCUCUGGGCCAUUUUGGGGAUGCGGAUGGGGCUCUCCAAGCCCUGUCCAGACACAGUCUGCUGGGUCAGCUCGUGUGUGCACCAGCAGUGCCUCGCCGUGGGGAGACGUGCAGCUCCCCUGCUGGUGCUCGUCCUGCAGGACCCCUGCUGUGCUGCGGGAGCCGACUCCCGCAUGCUGCCCUUUAUUCUGCUUCUUCUCGGCGGCUGCUGGGAAGACACGGAACAAACAAACUGGUCGAACAAUGCUUUCCAGGAACCGCUCGCUUCCUCCCGGAGUGCCGAGGUCGGGGUUAUGA